rnacentral:rRNA from 1 species
GUAUAUGGCCAUGCCACACUAAACGUACCCAAUCCCGUCUGAUCUCGGAAGCUUAGCAGGGUUGGGCCUGGUUAGUACUUGGAUGGGAGACCACCUAGGAAUAUCAGGUGCUAUAGGCA